UUUCGUCUAAACAAACACGCCCUUAGCCACCCUCAAUAGUCAAAUACCAUACUGAAAGUAGAUAAUUUCUGAGCACUUUACCCCCAACAAAAAUAUUUUAAAAGAUGAGAGAAACAUCGACCAUCACUAAAGCAAGGGGCAAAAAGUUUGGUGGUUGGUACCAGGGGUUCCAAGUUCGAAUCCUAGUUGAUUCACAAUUCCAACUAAAUUUAUUUCUAAAUGAAAUAAACGAAGCGGAUAGCGUGCUACCUAUCUCUCAAAAAAAAAAAAAAUGAGAGAAACAAAUGCGCGCAACUUUUAAUAGACCUCCUAUACUUAGGUCACAUAGUUUAAUUGGCUCUUUCCCUUAAGCGAAGCUAUUAAUUAAAAGGAAUAAUUGCCUAUACCCCUCAUACGUUGGAAAAUAUCUGAUUACUCCUACUUUUUUUUUCUUUCUAAGAUACCCCUUAUAUGUUCUACCAUUAUUGCAAAAUACCACCGCAAUUAUCUCAUGUUAAGUUAACUUGGGUUAAAUGUGAGUUAAAUAUCUACCACAGUUAAAAAAAAUAAAAUACCAAUUUUGCCCUUAACUUAAGGGUAAAUAAGAAAUGUUGGUGAUGGUAGAGAGGUAUAUUGGAAAAGACCAAAAGUCAAAAUACUUGUUGUACCCCCGACUUUAAGGGCAAAUAAAAAAAUCAGUGAUGGUGGAAGGGUAUAUUUGAAAGGGCAAAAUAGUAAUUUUACAGAGAUAAUAGAGUUAAUUAACAGAUUUUAACUCUAGGGGUAUAUUAGAAAUAAGUUGGAACAUAGAAAGGGUAUUUUCAAUAUUAGCCUUCUAAGAGGGGUAAAUCGAAAAAUCGGAAACUUUUCAGGGGUAUAUAAGCAAUUGCCCCUAAUUAAAA
rnacentral:lncRNA from 1 species